AGUGAACGCUGGCGGCGUGCCUAAUACAUGCAAGUCGAACGAAGUGGCGCACGGAUGGGUAAUAUAUGGUUAAUCUGCCCUACGCAGGGGAACAACAACUGGAAAUGACUGCUACUACCACAUAGUGUAGGAUGAGACUAUAUCGUAUCAGCUAGUUGGUAAGGUAAUGGCUUACCAAGGCUAUGACGAGUAACGGGUCUGAGAGGAUGAUCAGUCACCUUGGAAGUGAGACACGAUCCAAACACCUACGGGAGGCAGCAGUAAGGAAUAUCGGGCAAUGGGGGAAAAUCUGACGCAGCAAAGGCGCGUGGAGGAUGACACGUGUCGGAGCGUAAAAUCCUUUUAACAGGAAAGCGGUACCGGAUGAAUAAGCACCGGCUAACUCCGUGCCAGCAGCCGCGGUAAUAC
rnacentral:rRNA from 1 species